CCACCACCAUCAACAAGCAGGGGAAAAAACCUAUGCGAUUUCCUAGUGUUUUCCACAAGUACAUGACCCUUAACCACCAUAUAGCAAGGGUUUGUCACCAGGAUCUCCCUUAAAGAGCUUUCUCAGCACCCCCAGGAUCUUAUAUCAUUGGAUGAAUUGGGAGAAAACUGAGCUAAUGAGUGAAAUGGCCCUCCACAGAGUCCAUGUUGUUAUCCAAUCAACAUCUGUCUCCUAUAAAAGAAACUCAAAGAGCCGUGUUGGAUGUCUCAUCUUGAAAGGAGUUUGACGUUUCUACUUGUUCAAGAGCUGCAUUGCAAGCCAGGUAAAGGGAUCUACAGUUUUUUGCACGUAACUGUAGUGGUGUGUUUGGAAAUCAUUGUAGAAGCUCUUUUCAUCAUUACUCAGUGAGACAAGAUUCAUUAUGAUCUCAUCACCUCGAGUUUAUGCUUUCCCUCUGGAUCGCAAGACGUUACUCCUGGUAAUCACAAUAAUUAUUACUGCCAUCGUUUUUCUCAUCAUUACUGGAGUGCUCAUUUUUUAUGAAGUCUGCCGAAAGCUGGAGGAAUUUAUCCCUCCCCAAGUGGAAGAAUCAUGGAGGUAUAGAAUCGAACACAUUGAAAUUUAAGCUUCAGCAACAGAUUCCAAUCGUCAGCACCUGACUAUCAUCUUAUCUGAAAUCUGAACCUCCUUGGGACUUUGAACCUUUUUAGUCUUUUGAGCAUUUUAAAAGGAAUAAACGUUGACUUUUUAAAAGGUUAUGAUUUUGG
ensembl:lncRNA